CUCUUUGAGCCUCACAAGUUCCAUCAUUAAAAGAAGAAUGAUAAUCCUUUGCAGGGUUGUUGUGGGAACUAAAUUAGCUAAUGUGAAGGAAGAUCCUGAUUUCAAAUAGGCCCUUAGUACAUGGUGGCAAUGAUGACUCUCCUCAUUCUCUCACUUUUUCUUCCUUCCAGCUUUCCUUCACCUCCUGAGUCUCUUCUUCAGGAAGGACCAUGAACCAUUGCAGCCCAUGAGAGCCAGCUGUGGAGGGAGACAUCCUUGCUCCUUCUUUUCCCUGCUUAUCCUCAGCUACAAUCUGGUGACUAAAUGGCUUCUCCUUCCAUCAGCAGGGGGACAGUGAAACCAGGCACUGUGUUGGUCACUCUGGAUAACCCUUAACCAAUGAUGAUUCCAUUGGUAAGGACAAAGCAGAGUGAAAUAUCUGAUGACGUAAAUCUCUUUUGGAACCUGAAGAAAGUUACCAUUUUAGACCUCAAGGAUCCAAUGAUCUGGGAAUACAGUUCAUCUGAGGAUGAGCAUUACAGCUAUUUACAAGGAGUUUCUUUUUCUGGAGUGUUGGAGCUAUAAUUUUCUUAUCCCUUAUCCAUUUCAAGCUUCCAUGAACCUGAACGGGAAGAUCUGAGAAAUACCUCCACUGAGCGACUGAGGUGGAAUAUGCAAUAGGACAUCAGAAGUUCAUAACAGUGUUUAUAUCGUGAGAUGAAGCCAUGUUAAACAAGUAAGGGAGCUCCGUAGGAUGCAGAAUUACUUAACUGCAUCUCAUGGAAGAGUAGGGUGGGGUUAAGCUCCUGCCUUUUCAUAAUCAUAUAACUGGGGAAGUAACCAUUGAGUCUUCUACUUUAUAAGUUAACCUAAAGACGUUGUUUCAAUCAAUCAACAAGUAUGUCUUGACCAUAUGCAUGACACUGUUAAGAAGUAAACAGAAUUUGUUGUAUAACCAAUUUGUACUCUCCUAUAAUCAUAGAAGCUGAUGUUCAAACUAGCUUUAAAAUAAUAUAUAUGUAUAACAUUUUUAUGUCCUAAUAAAAGAUAGUAGAUUAUAAAUAAUUAUGCAAAGCAAUCUAUGGUUUUUACAGGAAUAAAAUAAUUAGCCUUUCCUUUUCCUUCUUACCCUUUAUAUUUAUCUAUCC
rnacentral:lncRNA from 1 species